GUGGAUUAGAUACCCUGGUAGUCCACGCCCUAAACGAUGUCAAUUCGUUGUUGGUCCUUUAUUGGAUUAGUAACGUAGCUAACGCGUGAAAUUGACCGCCUGGGGAGUACGGUCGCAAGAUUAAAACUCAAAGGAAUUGACGGGGACCCGCACAAGCGGUGGAUGAUGUGGAUUAAUUCGAUGCAACGCGAAAAACCUUACCUACCCUUGACAUGGUCGGAAUCCCGCAGAGAUGUGGGUGUGCUCGAAAGAGAACCGGCACACAGGUGCUGCACGUUCGUCGUCAGCU
rnacentral:rRNA from 1 species